rnacentral:rRNA from 1 species
GUCGAGCGGCAGCACGGGAAGCUUGCUUCCUGGUGGCGAGCGGCGGACGGGUGAGUAAUGCAUAGAAAUCUGCCCGGUAGUGGGGGAUAACCUGGGGAAACCCAGGCUAAUACCGCAUACGUCCUACGGGAGAAAGCAGGGGAUCUUCGGACCUUGCGCUAUCGGAUGAGUCUAUGUCGGAUUAGCUUGUUGGUGAGGUAAUGGCUCACCAAGGCGACGAUCCGUAGCUGGUCUGAGAGGAUGAUCAGCCACAUCGGGACUGAGACACGGCCCGAACUCCUACGGGAGGCAGCAGUGGGGAAUAUUGGACAAUGGGCGAAAGCCUGAUCCAGCCAUGUCGCGUGUGUGAAGAAGGCCUUCGGGUUGUAAAGCACUUUCAGUGGGGAAGAAAGCCUUGGGGCUAAUACCCUCGAGGAAGGACAUCACCCACAGAAGAAGCACCGGCUAACUCCGUGCCAGCAGCCGCGGUAAUACGGAGGGUGCGAGCGUUAAUCGGAAUUACUGGGCGUAAAGCGCGCGUAGGCGGUCUGAUAAGCCGGUUGUGAAAGCCCCGGGCUCAACCUGGGAACGGCAUCCGGAACUGUCAGGCUAGAGUGCAGGAGAGGAAGGUAGAAUUCCCGGUGUAGCGGUGAAAUGCGUAGAGAUCGGGAGGAAUACCAGUGGCGAAGGCGGCCUUCUGGACUGACACUGACGCUGAGGUGCGAAAGCGUGGGUAGCAAACAGGAUUAGAUACCCUGGUAGUCCACGCCGUAAACGAUGUCGACUAGCCGUUGGGCUCCUUGAGAGCUUUGUGGCNCANUUAACGCGAUAAGUCNACCGNCUGGGGAGUACGGCCGCANG